GUUGGCAUGUUUAAUCCAUAGUUUUUAAGAAGUUUCCAUUAUUUGGAAACUGACCUGGUUGGUUCAGCGUCGGCUUGGGUGGAAAACUAACCCAACCAGCUGACUAUUGAUUUUAACUUUCAUAGAACCGUUCAAAUUACCUAUUUGCACAUUUGCUUUUUUCCUGAUUUCAUCUCUGAGUGAACAUAUUCUCCUGCACAAGAAGCUGUUAUAAGUGCACAAUGUCGAAUUGCAGAAAUUGGAUAUGAACCAGGUGCUGCAGUUGUUGCUAGACUACUUGUACAUGCACAACAGAUAAGGCUAUUUGGUGGGUAGAGAGGAGGACAUAUUAUUAAUCAAAUGAAAAGGGCCGAUACUAACAUGCAGAUAAUUCACAUCUUCUAACAACACUCUGCUUCACUCCUCAGUACUAAACGUUACCUGCCCAAGCUUAUUGUACAGUACAAUCAUUCUAAAUCGGGUGUCCAGCUCAUUUUCUGGGAGGCACGUCUAUGGAGAUUGUUCAUGUUCAGCAGAUAUAUAUAACGGGGCAAUGGUGGUGGUUAAUCAUGCUAAACCUGGGAUGUUUGAUGGCAAAGUGAUCGUGUCUGGCACGCCAGAUCAGAUUCGGGCUGCCCAGAGACUCGUCCAUGCCUUCGUCUUGUGCAGGAAGACACAAUCCUGAUGAACAUAUAAUAAAGCACGAAGAUUGAACCAAGUUUUAUGAGAGUUUCCGAGUGGAUGUAAACAAAAACGUACCAGUGAAUCUAGUAGUAGGGUGCUUUCUAAUUAAGGAUGAUUGUUUGCAUCCAUUUUACCCUGUUCCAAACGUGUUUUUCAGCUGCCCUUGCGAGAAGUGCAGAAUGCAGAAAAUCAAUAAAACAAAA